UACGAAGGGGGCGAGCGUUGUUCGGAAUCACUGGGCGUAAAGGGCGCGUAGGCGGCUCAUGAAGGCUGUGGUGAAAGUCCGGGGCUCAACCUCGGAUCGGCCGUGGCGACUCGUGGGCUGGAGCACUGUAGAGGCGGGUGGAAUUCCGGGUGUAGCGGUGGAAUGCGUAGAGAUCCGGAAGAACACCGGUGGCGAAGGCGGCCCGCUGGGCCGUACCUGACACUGAUG
rnacentral:rRNA from 1 species